rnacentral:lncRNA from 1 species
AUUUCAUGAGAGAUACGUAAGUUUCAUUGACUGCUGCAAAUCACUAAAACUCUUUGUGAAGAAAUAGCAGAAGCAUUAGGAUUGCCAUUGAAAAACAGAAAGCAAAGCAAAUAUGUCAGGCUGGGUGGGGUUUCUCCCAAGCGAGCAAGGGUGUUGGCGCUUCCAUUUCCCUCCCUGUUAACAUUGCAUACUAACAACAAUCAUGGGGGCAUCAAGCUCCACUUCAAGGUUCCUAAUGUUGAGGGAGUAGGCAAUGUUUAAACCUAUCCCGGAGUGCUCAUAAUUCAGCUUCAACACUAAUUGCAAGUGGGAUGUGUCUGAAGCAAUCAACCACCCAUACCCGGGUUACCUGUGGAUCAUCCAUCAAAGUAUAGUUUAAACCAGGUUGCUUCCAGUUAAUACAAUUAACAUUAAAGGCGAUGGCAAAAAACUCAACAUCUUUUGCAGUGGCUCUUUGAAUGAUUUCAUUUCCAGUUUACUUGUUGAAGACAAGAGAAUCUCGUGCAAGUCAGGUUUGUCGCAAGAAGUAAAGGAAGACGAGAAAGGUUGGGACUUUGUGAUUUUAAAACCAGCUUUUUUUUCCUUUUUUUUUUUGUGUUAACAUAACAUUUAGUUUCAGCCAGUCCAACCAAUAAAGGUUUUGAGGGGGCUGUGGUAUCUUAUGCUUUUAUUUAUUCAAUAUACUGCUUGUAGGGCUCAAUUUUAACCCGGGGCCCAAUAAACAACAGUCCAAAAUACAAAGCUCAUUUACAGCCAAUUAAAACUCAAAUACUAAUCCUCAAACCCAAUCAAGUUCAAAUAAACCUAAAACAUUAGACCCAAAAUUGUAUCGGCCCAAAUGGCCCAGAGAUCAAAUGAUUCUCAGGAACCCUAGGGUUCCAGUGCGCCGUAGCCAAGAUUAGCCUCCAGGCGCCGCACGUCGCGGGCCUCUCCGCGUCGUGCGCCGCUCCACCACGCCACGUCAGUGGUAUGCCCGCACACGUACUUGUAAGCAAACGCAAAAGGAGGGACAGCACAGCAAAGAAGUUUUUUUUGUUCCAUUUUUUUCAGCUAUAAGACCGAAUAGAAUCGAAUGUAAAAAUGGAGUUUUUUUUUUUAAUACAAUAGCAAAAGAUACACACAAAAAUCGAUGGCAAUCAAAUACAAAAAAUCAAAUACGUUUGAAGGUAGUUCGCUCCUUUUUUUCCUUUUCUUUUAUUUCGUUUGAAUCAGUCAUACAAAUAGGCAAAAGAGGAAGGUGUUUACCUAUCAUUUGGUGUUGAUCUAAUCGGUGUUUGGCUCCUCCGACCCAAAGGCAGACGGAUCCCUAGGGACCGUUUGAAGCUAUGGCGGAGAUGGCAACAUAUUUCAGCACCGUCAAGGUCCGCUUGGGAGGAUUUUAAAAAACGAUUUAUGGUUUUGUUUUAAAAAUGGCCGAAUGUUCUGGUAUCUAAGGAGGAAUGGGAGAGUUUUGAAGCUUCAAAAGUUUUUUUACACUAAGGGUUAAAAUGAUUUUAAAACAAAAAAUUUUGCUUUAAAUAGCAAAGGGAAAACAGCAUCGUUUUGUGCCUGUGGUCUAAACAUCUAAACGACGUCGUUUAAGGCCCUGAAUCCACGCGUUGACCCGACCCGGGGAGGAUCCGUGUGUUUGCCAUUAAUGGGAAAUUUCGCAUAUAGUCCCUCUCUUUCGUGCCGAUUUUCAAUGGAGCCCUAUUCAUAUUUUCUUUAUCUUUUUAAAUUAUACAUGGAGUUUGCGCAUAAAUUCAGUUUGAUCUGCGCCUAAACGUUGCGUUUUGAAACUUGAAAUAUUUACAUUUUUAAUCCUCAAAUGUUUGUGCUC